UCCGCCACCGCAACUUUCCGCAGCCUCUGCGCGCCAGCGGCGGCCCCCUUUGUUUAAGUUCUCGGAUGCCAUCAUCUGGGAAACCUGCAACCCGGGACCAGCGCGGUGCCCGCGCGUGCGAGACGGACCGCUCGCUGCCGCGGCUGCGCUCGCCCCCACCCCCCUCUGCUUCGCUCCCUCCCUCUCCUUCUCUCCCCUCCCUCCCGCCUCCCUCCUCGGGGAUUCAGGCAAGUAGCGUGUGUGCCCUUGUGAGUUUGGAGGGUGCCGGUCAGCGGAGCCAUGCGAUGUAUUUGAAAAGCAAUCAGGCCGACCUUUCCCCAUAGAUGUAAUUAAUUCCAUUCAGAGAGAAAUACUGAAGAAUUAGAUCAUAAAUGAAAACAACAAAGACAACAACAAUAUGCAAUAAAAUGGAUUUCUGCUGACUUAGGGAAGUCAGAGUGAUCGGCUCCCCGCUGCUUCACAUGCUCUUGAUCCACAUGCUUCCUGAUUAUCACGUUAAAAAUUCCUCGUCAACCCUGGGCUGAAGCCUGUGUACAUGAGAAGAAUUCACAAUGAUCUCUGAAGUGGCCUGCUACCACUUACUGAGGACCUCAACCCCCAGCAGGCGGAAGGCAAGUGCCUGUAUCUGCAAACAUGCAGAUAGCUUUUCUAA